AGAGGAUGGGAGGUAAUCUGCUGUUAAUGACUGGCACAUCAACUACAUCUGUAUUGACCCUGAAUUCCUGCUUUGCUACAAUGCAAACACUCCACACUCCUGAAAACCCAAUUUUUAAGUAAAUCAUUGACAAGACUGUUUUAACACUCUCUUGGUCGUUAACAACUGUUUUGAUGUUUUCCCGUCAGGAUUUCGAUCACACCACAACACAGAAGCUGCUGUUGAUAUGGUCUUGAAUGAUACCUACUUAAAUACGGUGACCUUGAACAGUAAAGCACAGUGUGUGGCUCUCUAAAUCAAGCAGAUGACAUACCAAAACACAGACUGAUACACAUUUUAACACGCCGCCAUGCACAGCUGUGGCUUCUUCUGCCUGCCCUCUAGAGUCAGGUAAGCAGUCCUCUUGGCCAUCACAUGGAGCUAUGACCUCACGAGUAUGGCUGUCGACCUCUUCUGGCUGCA